AGAGUUUGAUCCUGGCUCAGAAUGAACGCUGGCGGCGUGCUUAACACAUGCAAGUCGAACGGGAACACCUCUUCGGAGGUUAGUAUAGUGGCGAACGGGUGAGCAAUGGAUGGGUAAUCUGCCCUUGAGUUGGGGAUAACUUUGCGAAAGCGGAGCUAAUACCGAAUAAUGCCCUCACUGCUACGGCAGAGAGGGUUAAAGAUGGCCUCUGUAUAUGCUGUUGCUUGAGGAUGAGCCCAUCUCCCAUUAGCUUGUUGGUGAGGUAAUGGCUCACCAAGGCGAUGAUGGGUAGCCGGCCUGAGAGGGUGUCCGGCCACACUGGAACUGAGACACGGUCCAGACUCCUACGGGAGGCAGCAGUGGGGAAUAUUUCGCAAUGGGCGAAAGCCUGACGAAGCAACGCCGCGUGGGUGAUGAAGGCCUUCGGGUUGUAAAGCCCUGUCGGAGGGGAAGAAAUCCUGAGCUUUAAUAGAGUUCAGGUUUGACGGUACCCUCCAAGGAAGCCCCGGCUAACUCCGUGCCAGCAGCCGCGGUAAUACGGAGGGGGCAAGCGUUAUUCGGAAUCACUGGGCGUAAAGGGCGUCUAGGUGGUCGCUUAAGUUCAAGGUGAAAGCCCUCGGCUUAACUGAGGAAGUGCUUUGAAAACUGGGCGACUUGAGUUCGGGAGAGGGGAGCGGAAUUCCCAGUGUAGCGGUGAAAUGCGUAGAUAUUGGGAGGAACACCGGUGGCGUAAGCGGCUCCCUGGACCGAUACUGACACUGAAGCGCGAAAGCUAGGGGAGCAAACGGGAUUAGAUACCCCGGUAGUCCUAGCUGUAAACGAUGGGCACUUGGUGUAGGANGUGUUGUUACCUUCUGUGCCNAAGUUAACGCANUAAGUGCCCCGCCUGGGGAGUNCGGUCGCAAGGCUGAAACUCNAAGGAAUUGACNGGGGCCCGCACNAGCGGUGGANCAUGUNNNUAAUUCGAGGCAACGCGAANAACCNUACCAGGGCUUGACAUGAAAGGAUAGGAUGANANAUCNUCUCUNNUUUCNAANACCUUUUNNCNGNGCUGCNUGGCUGUCGUCNNNUCGUGNCGUGNGANNUUGGGNUAAGUCCCNNNNCGAG
rnacentral:rRNA from 1 species